UCUUCCUCCCACUCCUCCUAGUUAUCUCAAACCCUUCCACUCCUGGUCAUCCUAGGCUGGGGAAUCGGCCCCAGCCUCUACCAUUAUCGCAGGGAAGACCAAGCCCAGUGAAGUCGUGGUCCAGACAGGCAGAGAGGAAGAGAAGGCAGCAGAGGCUUCACUCGGGACCCAGGUCAUGAGCACAUUUCGAGUUCGGCCAGCCCGAGCCCAAGACUGCCCUGACAUCCUGAGGCUCAUCAAAGAAUUGGCUGCUUAUGGAAAUGCUCUUGAUGCUGUGAAGUUAACCAUUAUAGUAUGACAAAGCCCAUGCACCAUAGAAGAGGUUCUGUAUGUGGAUUGACCUUUCAGAUUUACUCAAAGAUGGCUUUGGGGACCACCCUCUUUAUUACUGUCUUAUUGCAGAAGUACCAGAUGAGGCAGAGCUGACAGGUUUAGGUAUCGGACCCGAAAUUUUGAGGAAACUAAGUCAGAUAGCAAUUACCAACGGCUGCAGCUGCAUGAACUUUCUUGUAGUCAUAUGGAACCAGACAUCUACCGAAUACUACACUAGGCGGGGGGCCCUGGACUUAUCCUCUCAGGAGGGAUGGCAUCUGUUCUGGUUUAACAAAAAGGAGCUUUUACAAAUGGCAAAUGAAAAGUGAAGGUGCUUCCAAAUUGCCAUUCCAGGUGCUAAAUCCUCAUCUUGUAGACUUCCCUUGUACCAUACAUCACAUCCCCAGCCUCUGGUUUGAGCCCCAACAUAGACCAAUUGCUCAAACAGCUGGUGAAACACAGUAAACUCUUGGUUAUCUUCACCUAGCAAUCACUUCUGUUUGUCUUGUAGUCUUAUCUUUCGAUCAGCCAGUCUAGAUCUACAUAAAU